GAUAGAAUACCGAAGGAUUGGAACUAUGAUAUUGAUGCUGGCUUUGAUCGAAAGCCAGGUUUAUGGCCUCCUGAAAACAAAGCAGAUAAUCCUUCAUUACAGAAUCCAUUGCUUCGACAAGAAAGAAUGGGGUGUGGUUGGUUGGGUGCCAUAUUUGAGUGGGAGGGUGUGUUGAUUGAGGACAAUCCUGAAAUUGAAAAGCAGGCCUGGUUAGCUCUUUCUCAGGAAGAAGGAAAAUCCCCUCCCCCAGCUUUUAUCCUCAGAAGAAUAGAGGGGAUGAAGAAUGAACAGGCAAUUUCUGAAGUCCUUUGCUGGUCAAGAGAUCCUGCUCAGUUGAGAAGAAUGGCUGCUAGGAAGGAGGAAAUCUAUCAGGCAUUGCAGGGGGGAGUUUACAGACUAAGAGCAGGGUCAAAAGAGUUUGUGAAUAUCCUGAUGCAUUACAAGAUUCCCAUGGCACUGGUUUCAACCCGUCCUAGAGAAACUCUGGAGUCGGCCAUGGGAAAGAUUGGUAUUGAUGGCGAUUUCAAUGUGAUUAUAGCUGCGGAGGAUGUUCACAGGGGAAAGCCUGAUCCAGAAAUGUUCGUCUAUGCAGCACAGCUUUUGAACUUCAUUCCUGAAAGGUGCAUUGUGUUUGGGAAUUCAAACCAAACUGUUGAAGCUGCUCAUGAUGCUCGGAUGAAGUGUGUGGCAGUUGCAAGCAAGCAUCCUGUUUAUGAACUUGGGGCUGCGGACUUGGUGGUGAGGCGUCUUGAUGAGCUGACAGUCGUCGAUUUGAAGAAUCUCGCCGAUAUUGAGUCCUCUGAAUUUGGGUCUGGAGAGCCAGAGUUGGAGAUGGAGUUGGAGGAAGAUGAUGAGUCUCCAUCAACCAUGACAGCAGUUGAUGAUAUUUUCUGGUGACAAUGGCUAAAUGUACAUAAUUUCUUGUUAUGAUUCUUAACGUUAAUAGUUCAUCUGUGUAUAAAAA
rnacentral:misc_RNA from 1 species